rnacentral:rRNA from 1 species
UGCGAGUCAUUGUAGCAAUACAAGGCAGACGGCUCAGUAACGCGUAGUCAAUCUACCCUAUGGACGGGAAUAACCUCGGGAAACUGAGAAUAAUGCCCGACAGAACAUUAUACCUGGAACGGUUUAUGUUUCAAAUGAUUUAUCGCCGUAGGAUGGGACUGCGGCCUAUCAGUUUGUUGGUGAGGUAAUGGCCCACCAAGACUAUUACAGGUACGGGCUCUGAGAGGAGUAGCCCGGAGAUGGGUACUGAGACACGGACCCAGGCCCUAUGGGGCGCAGCAGGCGAGAAAACUUUGCAAUGUGCGAAAGCACGACAAGGUUAAUCCGAGUGGUUUCUGCUAAAGAAACCUUUUGCUAGUCCUAGAAACACUAGUGAAUAAGGGGUGGGCAAGUUCUGGUGUCAGCCGCCGCGGUAAAACCAGCACCUCAAGUGGUCAGGAUGAUUAUUGGGCCUAAAGCAUCCGUAGCUCGUUUUGUAAGUUUUCGGUUAAAUCCAUACGCUUAACGUAUGGGCUGCCGGGAAUACUGCAUAACUAGAAAGUGGGAGAGGUAGACGGUACUCGGUAGGAAGGGGUAAAAUCCUUUGAUCUAUUGAUGACCACCUGUGGCGAAGGCGGUCUACCAGAACACGUUCGACGGUGAGGGAUGAAAGCUGGGGGAGCAAACCGGAUUAGAUACCCGGGUAGUCCCAGCUGUAAACUAUGCAAACUCAGUGAUGCAUUGGCUUGUGGCCAAUGCAGUGCUGCAGGGAAGCCGUUAAGUUUACCGCCUGGGAAGUACGUACGCAAGUAUGAAACUUAAAGGAAUUGGCGGG